rnacentral:rRNA from 1 species
ACACGAACCGUCCAAACGUUAUUCGGUAUCACUGGGCUUAAAGCGUGCGUAGGCGGCUUAGAAGGUGAGAUGUGAAAGCCCACGGCUCAACCGUGGAACUGCGUUUCAAACCACUAGGCUUGAGGAAGACAGGGGUGAUGGGAACUUAUGGUGGAGCGGUGAAAUGCGUUGAUAUCAUAGGGAACACCGGUGGCGAAAGCGCAUCACUGGGUCCUUUCCGACGCUCAGGCACGAAAGCUAGGGUAGCGAACGGGAUUAGAUACCCCGGUUGUCCUAGCCGUAAACGAUGAGCACUAGGCUGAGGGAACUUCCACAUUCUCUCGGCCGUAGCGAAAGCAUUAAGUGCUCCGCCUGGGGAGUAUGGUCGCAAGGCUGAA